rnacentral:rRNA from 1 species
ACGGAAGGCAGCAGUGGGGAAUAUUGCACAAUGGGGGAAACCCUGAUGCAGCGACGCCGCGUGAGCGAUGAAGUAUUUCGGUAUGUAAAGCUCUAUCAGCAGGGAAGAUAAUGACGGUACCUGACUAAGAAGCUCCGGCUAAAUACGUGCCAGCAGCCGCGGUAAUACGUAUGGAGCAAGCGUUAUCCGGAUUUACUGGGUGUAAAGGGAGCGUAGGCGGUGAGGCAAGUCUGAUGUGAAAGCCCAGGGCUCAACCUUGGGACUGCAUUGGAAACUGUCUGACUAGAGUAUCGGAGGGGUAAGCGGAAUUCCUAGUGUAGCGGUGAAAUGCGUAGAUAUUAGGAGGAACACCGGUGGCGAAGGCGGCUUACUGGACGAUAACUGACGCUGAGGCUCGAAAGCGUGGGGAGCAAACAGGAUUAGAUACCCUGGUA